GGAAUAAAAUAAAUAAAAUAAAAUAAAACAAAAUAAAUGAUUGUACGGCAUAGUGAGAAGUGAAAAAGAGUGAUUGUAUUUUUUACUAUAAUUAAUAAAUAAAAGAAAAAUAUGUAUCCUUUAGUCUUAUUUGUUAAGAACUGUUAAAAAUAGACUUUGAGUUGAGAUUGUUGUUAGUGUUAAAAAAUGUGUAAAAUUGUAUUGACAUUUGUAAAAAAUAAAUAAAUAAAGUGUGCGCUUUUAAAUAAUGUAAAAUGUGUAUUGUGAUUACGAAUACUUUGGUCUUAUGUGGUUCAUAUUUAAAAAAAUAAUUUAAAUAUUAAAAAUCUUUUAUAAGAAUAAUUUGAUUUCUCUCCAUAUGAAUAAACAAAACUUGAGUUGAAAUUCUCUUCUUUUUUUCUCAUUUCUCCAAAUAUUUCAUUAUUUUCAUCUCCUUAAUCAUUCAAAUAAAAGAUGAAAACACUCACUCUCUAUUUUUUUUCCUUCUCAUAAAACCCUGAGAUCCAUUCAAGUUGUAAGAAAGGACUCCGUAUUUUUGAUCAAUCAAUUAAUUAUAUUGUAUUUCAUAAAAAGCACUUCGACCACAAAUUUAUUUUUAAAAUUUUUUAGCCAAUAACCCUAAGCUUUAAUCUUUUACAACCAAAAGAAUAUUUAUUUCUUCGAAUCUUACAUAUCCCUCUAUAUAUUCAAAUCUUGUUUGUCUGUAAAUAUCACCUACACAUAUCACUUAUUUAUUCAUUUAUAUAUUCACCUAUAUAUCUAUCUCACCAUCACCAACUAUCAUCACCUAUCAUUAUCGGCAAUUUUUUCAUUGCCAACAACUUUUCCUAACUUGUCCAUGUUACCAAAGGAAAGGAAAAAAAAAUCCUUAAUGAAAUAUCUCAUGGACAUGAACUUUACAUCAAUAUUUUUUUUUACAUGAAUAGAAUGAUAGGGUUGUAUUUAUAUAAUACCAAGAAUUUUAAAAAGAGUAAAUUACAUUUAUCUUAAGUUUCAAAAAUAACACUAACAUCUAUUACUUCUAAAAUUAUUAUCAAAAUUUCACCUUCUGUUAACUUGGCUACAAAAGAGUGUUAAUAGAAACGACAAAAUGACUCAAAUAGCCUUAUAAUCUACCUUACUCCUAACAUCACCUCUCUUACCCUAUUGUCCAAAACCCCACCUUCUUGAACCAGCACCACUUCCAUCCCCAACUUACCAUUGACACUAACCACUACCGGUCCUAGAGCUCUUUGCAAACCAACCAAUAAUUCUACUACACCACCAACUCAUCCACCUCUCUCCCAAGUGAUAUAAUCAAGAAUCAAUUGAUGCAUAAAUUGUUGAGUAGGCAAGCAUUGGUGUGUUGGCUAUGGACAAGUUAUGGGUUUUCGAAUAAGGGAUAUAUAUAUUAGAGGAACGGGUUUUUGUUGAUAGAGGAUGGUAAGGUAGUGAUCAUGGCAUGCAAAGAGGGCUUGUGAAUGGAGGAGAGACAAAAAGCUAAGUGCAGGUUGUGUGCUUGGAUAUGUUCUGGGUUGCACCUAGAGAACGUGAUGUCAGCAUCUACGACUUAAUCACCAUCCUCGUCGAUGUCAACAUCUACAACUUGAGAUUUGAAGAGGUUCGAGCCCAAAAUCACCAAUUGAGACAGAGACCUCCCACGCAAACCUAACUGCAAAUGAACAGAAAAUCAAAUCCCCAAUUCACCUUCCACACAACCCAUAUUCAUCUCCAACCCAGCAAGUUUGUCAUCUUCUUCAUACCCAUUCUCAACCAUAAACCAUUACCCACAGCCCGCCACUUCAGUCAUCAUCUCAUCCCACAACCUCUUCUCAUCACUAACAAGUUUCUAGAAUCAGGUUUAAUUUUUUUAUUACGCCAGAUGGGUUCCAGUCUUAAUUUUUGGCUCUAGAAUGUUGUUCCAAUAUGAGAUUAAUGUCUAUGCUAGUCAUCAACGGAAAACUAGUUAUGUUUUGUAUAUAUUUAAUUUGGGUGUUGCAGUGCGGUUCAAUGGUGUUGUGUUGUAUGGUUGUGAUAGUCGUUGUGGGUGGUGAUGGUAGGAGGUGGAUGGAUAUGAUUUUUUUGGCUGGUAAAUUGAUGAUGAUGAUGUUGAGUAGCAGUUGUGGUUAUGGUUGUUGUGAUGUACAAGUGGUGGUUAUGACACUAUUUGGUUGUAGAUUUUUUUUUUGGUCUUUAAAGUCUUGUUUGGGUUAAACCAUACAUGUACACCUUUUUGUAUAAGUGUAUUUAUUUGAGUCAUAUCAAUCAAUAUUUUCUCUCAAGUAAAGUUGUAUACACCAAUUACGUUACUAACAACGUACCAACAGAUGAUGUGGCAUUGCCACUUCAGACCUACAGGACCCACCCAAUAUAAAGAAACAACAGUGGUGAUACAGAUCACUAAUUUAGGAGCACUAAUGCUAGCUCUAAUGAGCUGGCAGUAAAAAAAUAAAAAUAAAGGCCAAACUAUCACAUCAAGGUGGGACCCACAGUAAUGCCAUCUCAUUAGUGCAGCUUUAGAGCUGCUACUUUAGUGGUCCUAAACAUUAUUCAAGAAACAAAACCAAAGUCUUCCUAAAAUUACUCCUGUAGAGACCCAAACAAAAAUGGACGAACCGUUCUCUCUCUCUCUCUCUCUCUGAGCACUACUCCGUUCAAUCACAUCUUCGUUCAACCUCUCAUUCAUCUCUCUUGGAAGAUUAGGGAUUUUGUGAAAGUCGUAAAAGUCGAUGGAGAAUCAAAUUUUGCAGUUGUGAAAUCAUCUCUGUUCAACUCCUCUCUCUCUCUCUCUCUCUCUCUCUCCCGCUAAAACUCUUUAAAUUCAGAGUAUAUCUUAUAGUCGACGAAUGAAAGUCGAUGGAGAAUCGAAAAGUUUUCACAAUUUGAUUUGGUUUGAUAUGAAGUUUCAAAGGAGUUUUUUUGUGAUACUGCAAUCUGGAAGGUGAAGAUUGUAGCUGCUCUUGACAGAUAUAAUCAGAGCAUGGCUGCUGUUGAUAACCAAAUUAUGGAACAAGAGGCUGAAGUUGAAGAUUGAAAUGCUUUAGCAAAACAUUUCAUUCCGAAAGAUUUGGUUAUGACAUUUCGUAUGUUUUGUUUUGUAAUGACGAUGUUAAUCAUGGGUUUGAAAUGAAAUUUGUUUUGUAUUUUGUAAUCAAAUAUUGGUUAUGAUUUGUUGUACUGCAAUGGAACUUUUGUUAUGGUUUGAUAUGAAGAUUGAAUAUUGUCUUGAA